CCAAACUUGGUCAUUUAGAGGAAGUAAAAGUCGUAACAAGGUUUCCGUAGGUGAACCUGCGGAAGGAUCAUUAAUAAAUGUUUGAUGGUAUUAUGAAUUCUCUUAUAAUAUCAAUCAUCACAUCUGUUUUUGUGGUAACAUUGAAAUAAAAAGCUUUUCUGUAAGGAAAAGUGAAAAGGGGGUAAUGUAAAGAGACUUGGGAUUUGCUGCGAUAAAAAGCAAUUUCAGGCUUUUUCAACCCCCUAAACUUUAACAAUAAGCUCUUAUUAUUUGACUGACAUAAAAAAUAUUAUCAAAUUUUUAUUUGAUUAAAAUUUUUAAAUAACUUUCAACAACGGAUCUCUUGGUUCUCGCAUCGAUGAAGAACGCAGC
rnacentral:misc_RNA from 1 species